rnacentral:snRNA from 1 species
GGUUAGGGCAAUGUAGGCAACAUCUGUCACUCCAUUGCUUGUCAGGAUUAUUUUAGCCGAUUUGUCUGACUGGGCAGGUGUCCCCUCUCUCCCUCAGUGCUCCAUGUGCAUCCCUCUUGAAGCUUCGCACUCUGUUGAAGAGGACACUCAUCCCAGGUAGAGAGGGGGACGGGAAGCUGGGCCAAUUGAAUCUGUCCUUUUUUUUCCACUAUCAGAUCAAGGCUGUUUAAUUGGGAUCCAUUGACUUCCUAAGGUCAAUAAACUCUAUCUGUGAAAUUACUUGCUAAGUUUUGUUUAUGCA